rnacentral:rRNA from 1 species
CCCUUAGAUGUUCUGGGCUGCACGCGUGCUACACUGAUUAUUUCAACAAGUGUUUUAACUGGAGAGUUUGCGUAAUCCUGAAAUGUUAUCGUGAUGGGAGUAGAGUAUUGUAUUUGUUAAUCUUUAACGAGGAAUUCCUAGUAAGUGUAGGUUUAUAAGUUGUUCUGAUUACGUCCCUGCCCUUUGUACACACCGCCCGUCGCUCCUACCGAUUGAUUGAUCCGUGAAUUACAUAGAAUUUUGCGUUUUACAUGACGGAAGAUGAAGUGUUUUAAACCUUAUCAUUUAGAGGAAGGAGAAGUCGUAACA